AUGGGCCCCCUGCCCAGCUCCAGCUUCUCCUUCUCUGACAUUGCCCUCAGGGUGAUGACCUCGCCUUCACCACAAGCCUGUUCUCACUCUGUGGGACUCAGAAGACUCCCCUCAACCCCUCAGCCUUUUGGAGCCCACUCCCCCCACCGCUUUCCCACAGACUUCUCUCAGGGUCCCUGUUGCCGCUCUUCUGCAUCUGGGGCACUUGGAGCCCCACAAGGGCAGAGAGCAGCCUGCCCCUCAGGACAGGUCCCCUCAGGACUGGUCCCCUCUCAGGACAGGUCUCCUCUCAGGACUGAUCCCCUCUCAGGCCUGGUCCUCUCAGGCCUGGUCCCCUCUCAGGACUGGUCCCCUCUCAGGACAGGUCUCCUCUCAGGACAGGUCCCCUCUCAGGACUGGGGCCCCUCUCAGGACUGGGGCCCCUCUCAGGACUGGGUCCCCUCUCAGGACAGGUCCCCUCAGGACUGGUCCCCUCUCAGGACAGGUCUCCUCUCAGGACUGGGUCCCCUCUCAGGACAGGUCCCCUCUCAGGACAGGUCUCCUCUCAGGACAGGUCCCCUCUCAGGACUGAUCCCCUCUCAGGACAGGUCCCCUCAGGACAGGUCCCCUCUCAGGACAGGUCCCCUCUCAGGACAGGUCCUCUCAGGACUGGUCCCCUCUCAGGACUGGUCCUCUCUCAGAACAGGUCCCCUCUCAGGACUGAUCCCCUCUCAGGACAGGUCCCCUCAGGACAGGUCCCCUCAGGACAGGUCCCCUCUCAGGACAGGUCCCCUCUCAGGACAGGUCCUCUCAGGACUGGUCCCCUCUCAGGACUGGUCCUCUCUCAGAACAGGUCCCCUCUCAGGACUGAUCCCCUCUCAGGACAGGUCCCCUCAGGACAGGUCCCCUCUCAGGACAGGUCCCCUCUCAGGACAGGUCCUCUCAGGACUGAUCCCCUCUCAGGACAGGUCCCCUCUCAGGACUGGUCCCCUCUCAGGACUGGUCCUCUCUCAGAACAGGUCUCCUCUCAGGACCGAUCCCCUCUCAGAAAUGAUCCCCUCUCAGGACAGGUCUCCUCUCAGGACCGGUCCCCUCUCAGGACUGGUCCCCUCUCAGGACAGGUCCCCUCUCAGGAAUGAUCCUCUCUCAGGACCAGUCCCCUCAGGACAGGUCCCCUCUCAGGACAGGUCUCCUCUCAGGAUAGGUCUCCUCUCAGGAAUGGUCCCCUCUCAUGACAGGUCCCCUCUCAGGACAGGUCCCCUCUCAGGACUGAUCCCCUCUCAGGACAGGUCCCCUCAGGACAGGUCCCCUCUCAGGACAGGUCCCCUCUCAGGACAGGUCCCCUCAGGACAGGUCUCCUCUCAGGACCAUGUCCCCUCUCAGGACAGGUCCUCUCAGGACCAUGUCCCCUCUCAGGACAGGUCUCCUCUCAGGAUAGGUCCCCCUCUCAGGAUAGGUCCCCCUCUCAGGACUGAUCCCCUCUCAGGACUGGUCCUCUCAGGACUUAUCCCCUCUCAGGACUGA
rnacentral:lncRNA from 1 species